GGGGUGUCGCCUGUAUGGUCGUGAGUAGUCUCCUCAGUUGCCCAGAGUUGUAACGUCUUUCUGGUCGCCGCUGGACUUUCAACAUGGUAAAAAAAUUUCAGAGUCAGUUGGCGACAGUGGCUUUGACAUCAAUGAGCGUAGUUUGUCUUCUCCUGACGUAGGUACUGUUAUAUGUUUCGCCAGGUUAACGUAGGUUGGCGCCGGUGUUGACUUCAUUGUUUUUUGUUAAUGUAAUGAUGCUAUUUCAAAUUUUAAGUAGAAGGGGGGGGGUUUCGACAACCUGCUACGACGGAAGUCGCCUGAAAAUAGCCUAAGUGGGACAGGCCCUUCAGGAAGUCCUGAUGUAGUUUUUAAACAUUGGUUAGGCUGAAUUUGGAGUAUUGUGUGUAGUUCUUCAGAAGAAGAGUCUCGGACCGAAACGUCACCCAUCCCUUCUCUCUAGAGAUGCUGCUUGUCUUGCUGAGUUACCGCAGCAUUUUGUGUCUAUCUUCGGUGUAAACCAGUAUCUGCAGUUCCUUCCUACACAUUCCGCUCUUGUACUUGUGCACGCAGGGUAUGAUUCGACUGGAUAGUUUGCAAAACAAAGCUUUCUACUCGGGGUGCAUCUCAGUAAUAACCGAGCAAUAAUAAACGGAACUAAAAAGAGAGGGAGAGAUAUUGAACUCAUUUUAACCAUUUCCAUAAUAUCAUUCUCGAUUCCUUGCAGACACUGUCGACUUGUACGAUGACCAGCUGAAUCUGAAGUUUCUGUUCCGAAUCAAAGAUGUGGGUGAAAAUGUCGAAAAUCUAUUUGAACAUCGAGGAAUCUACCAUGCGUGCAAAAUUGAACGAAAUUUACCAGACAAUUCUUUUAGAUCGAUUAUUCCACUUGAGGACAAUACAAGUUUAGAAUUACAAGCAGCUCUUCAGAAUCAAUGCGUGCCUGUGGAACAUACAACCAAGCACAAAUCUGAGAAGAAGCGAGGGAAAGGGAGCUCAAAAACUGGAGCGGACGAUGAAUCCACAACAAGCCGGGGGACUGGAAGAUCCAAGACGGAUCCAGGAAAAAGAUCCGGCAAAAGCUAGACACCAGUGCAUCUCCUCCUUGCACUCUCCUCUUGUAUUGUACUGUGCCAAAAAAGAAAAUCUGUUUAGAUAGUAUUUCUUGCAAAGGAUCAGCAACGGAAACUUGGAAAUUGAAAAAAGAAAUCAUAUCCUUUAAUAUCCUAAAGGAACCUUGAAAUGUAGAUGAAAAAUGAGAUCUAAUGCUAAGUUAUAAUCACUCAAAGGAAACAUUGUAAUGUGUUACUCACUGAAGUGAAAGCCAGGAUUUAGCAAAAGAUUGAUUAGAUUAACUGUGAUACAAUGUGCAAGCAACCAAUUCUGUAGGAUAUUUAAAUGUCUUAUCUGCUAUUAAUUAUUUGUGAAUUUGUUAUUUUUCUAAAUAAUUAUUCGUUCUAUUACAAGGUUCAGAAAUUAUGAUGGAAUUUUGGAAGUAAGAAAAAUAAUAUCUUUGUGUCAAGCUAAAUAAGACAUGAGUGUAUUUUAAGGUGUAAGAGGCAACAAUAAUCUGAUUUAAAUAGGUACAUUCUUUAAGGAUGCAUGGGAUCCAUGAUGGUUUGGAUUGAGAACAGGCUUACCCAUAGCAGGUAGUGGUGGAAGGAUGUUAUUCUGGCUGGAGAUCUGUGACUUGUUGCACAGGGAUGUGUGCUGUUGUGCAGGGACCUAUGCUGGCUCCUCUGUUAUUUGUGAUGUAUACAAACUUAAGGGCCUGUCCCAUGAUGCAAGUUCACCCAAGAGCUCUCCCAAGUUUAAAAAAAAAAAAAACUCGUGGUAUGUACGUGGCGGGUGUGUAGGAUCCUCGUGGAUGUUCUGUAGCAGCUCGUAAUGCGAACGGCACGUACUUGGGAAACGCGGUAACUCGUGAAGUUUUUUCCACAAUGUGAAAAAUGUCCAAGAGUUUCCCGAGUACCUGCCGUUAGUUACCGCGUUUGGGGGGUACCUGCUGUUCGCAUUACGAGCCGCUACGUCAUAGUGGUAGCAGGUCGCCGGAAAAACAGCGACUAGACCCCCCUACGACAAUGUCUAUGACAAGCUACAACAAUCUACCACCUAGUCGAGCCAAGCUACGGCAAGGUACCGACAAACUGCGACCCAUUAGGACGUCCACCUACGACCACACCGAUGAC